rnacentral:rRNA from 1 species
GAUGAACGCUGGCGGCGUGCUUAACACAUGCAAGUCGAACGGGAAACAUUUUAUUGAAGCUUCGGCAGAUUUAGAUUGUUUCUAGUGGCGGACGGGUGAGUAACGCGUGGGUAACCUGCCUUAUACCGGGGGAUAACAGCCAGAAAUGACUGCUAAUACCGCAUAAGCGCACAGAACCGCAUGGUUCCGUGUGAAAAACUCCGGUGGUAUAAGAUGGACCCGCGUUGGAUUAGCUAGUUGGCAGGGCAGCGGCCUACCAAGGCGACGAUCCAUAGCCGGCCUGAGAGGGUGAACGGCCACAUUGGGACUGAGACACGGCCCAGACUCCUACGGGAGGCAGCAGUGGGGAAUAUUGCACAAUGGGGGAAACCCUGAUGCAGCGACGCCGCGUGAAGGAAGAAGUAUCUCGGUAUGUAAACUUCUAUCAGCAGGGAAGAUAAUGACGGUACCUGACUAAGAAGCCCCGGCUAACUAC